UCCCUGGUGGCUCAAAUGGUAAAGAAUCUGCCUGCAAUGCAGGACACUCAGGUUCAAUUCCUGGAUGGGAAA
rnacentral:tRNA from 1 species